AUGUGUCUUCUUAGGUUACUGAUGAGCACAAGGGCUAUCAGUGUUGGGAUCAUAUCGAUCGGCGGAUUAAGCAUUCCUCGGGGUGCGACUUUUGAUGAGCCUCGUCCUUUCUAUCCACGUCGAUUCUCUCCUUUGGCCUCUCUCAUUGAGGAUAUUUCUUUCCUAGCUUUUGCCAAUACACCUAUCACUCAUAUAUUGCCCUUGUGCAUCCAUUCCAAUGUGUCUUCCUAUACGACUAUUGUAGACCCCACGUCAUCAUCACCUACGGCUUCCCCACCUCAUUUGUCCCCUAAGGCUUCCCCGGUGAUUCAUCCUCAUCCUCUUCUUUACUACACUAGUCGUCCACAUCUUUUGGAUUCUUCUGAUGUGUCAUCUUUCAAUGAGCUAUCUCCCUCGACUACUAUGUCUCCUUCUGUUGACAACGCACCUCCUCCAGCUCAACCUACUUAUGGCUUCUGCGCCCACCCGCUUCCGCUUAUUGAUCGCUAA
rnacentral:rRNA from 1 species